AGCCCCGGCACCUUACGGGUGCAUUUCUAAAUUUGCAUUUUAG
rnacentral:tRNA from 1 species